rnacentral:rRNA from 1 species
UGGAAGCGUCUGGAAAGGCGCGCGAUACAGGGUGACAGCCCCGUACACAAAAAUGCACAUGCUGUGAGCUCGAUGAGUAGGGCGGGACACGUGGUAUCCUGUCUGAAUAUGGGGGGACCAUCCUCCAAGGCUAAAUACUCCUGACUGACCGAUAGUGAACCAGUACCGUGAGGGAAAGGCGAAAAGAACCCCGGCGAGGGGAGUGAAAAAGAACCUGAAACCGUGUACGUACAAGCAGUGGGAGCACGCUUAGGCGUGUGACUGCGUACCUUUUGUAUAAUGGGUCAGCGACUUAUAUUCUGUAGCAAGGUUAACCGAAUAGGGGAGCCGAAGGGAAACCGAGUCUUAACUGGGCGUUAAGUUGCAGGGUAUAGACCCGAAACCCGGUGAUCUAGCCAUGGGCAGGUUGAAGGUUGGGUAACACUAACUGGAGGACCGAACCGACUAAUGUUGAAAAAUUAGCGGAUGACUUGUGGCUGGGGGUGAAAGGCCAAUCAAACCGGGAGAUAGCUGGUUCUCCCCGAAAGCUAUUUAGGUAGCGCCUCGUGAA